AACUCGACUUCAUGAAGUCGGAAUCGCUAGUAAUCGCGUAUCAGCACGACGCGGUGAAUACGUUCCCGGGCCUUGUACACACCGCCCGUCAAGCCACGAAAGUCGGGGGUACCCGAAGUCGUUGACCCAACCCGCAAGGGAGGGAUGCGCCGAAGGUAAAACUGAUGAUUGGGGCUAAGUCGUAACAAGGUAGCCGUACCGGAAGGUGCGGCUGGAUCACCUCCUUU
rnacentral:rRNA from 1 species